AACUGUGCUGUGAACUCAAAAACUGCAAUUGAUUAACCAUUACUUACAAACUAAAUAAAUACUGAAUAACUAAAUCCCUCACACACAAUGGAAAAAAACGCGCUUUUAUUUUGACACGCGCCCAUCCCCCCACAUCUCACGGUCUGACUGGAGUCGAGUUUCACAGAGCAACGCAACAGGAGGAUGACACAACAGUUAUAAGAGCAUUAACAGUAAGGACUAACAUUAACUGACUGUCUGUCCUCAACCAAAGUCAUUCAAGACCUGUAAAAGUUUAGCACAAACGUUUCCCGCGCAAGUUUGAAUCUCUCUCAGUCAGGGGAGAUUGACUGACUGACUGACUGACUGACUGACUGUCUACACGCCACCAAACAGUUAUUUAUACAGAAACCUUUUAAAGUAAGGACUAACGUUAACUGACUGUCUGUCUGUCUGUCUGUCGGUUCUCAACCAAAGUCAUUAAAGACCUGUUAAAGUAAGGACUAACGUUAACUGACUGUCUGUCUGUCUGUCUGUCUGCUCUCAACCAAACAGUCUUUCAAGACCUUUUAAAGUUUAGCACAAAAGUUUCCAGCACAAGUUUGGAUCUUUACCAUUGAGGGUGGCUGACUGUUCUCGACCAACCAUCAUUCACACGCAAAAACUUUAAAGAUAAGUAUGAACGUGCCCAGAGCAGUUUUCGAUCUUUACCAUUAAGGAGGCUGACUGACUAUCCUCUACCACCCGUCAUUAACACAACAAAAACUAAAGAAAUGUUACUCCAUAUGGACCUAUUCAUUUACUCAUUAUGCUGUGAGUACACCACAGUUUUAUCAGUGAAAAAAUUUAUAUUUGUGUGUUUUCUCACUGCUUGGCAAGGACAGAUGUGGCCCUGUUAAAAAUGUUUAAAUGUUGUUUGGUUAAGGAACAGCACACUGAUUUUGUUUUAAAAUAUUCCUGUUUGGACAGUCUGUUAAAGUCAAAGGAAUACUUGAUAUAUUUCUAAGUAAAGUGUAAAUGAAAAAAAAUUAGUUUUUAAUGUUGUGACUGAACACAAUGUUGUGAAUGAUUUGGACUGAACAGCACACUUCUGUUUUAUAUCUGAACCUUUUGUAAAAUAAAUGAUUGUUCAUUAAACUCACUGUGUAUUUUAUCUUUUCUGUUAUCAUUUUUUUAUACUAAU